rnacentral:lncRNA from 1 species
UUCUAUGGGUGUGUUUUCUCCGCUAAUCACAUCGAUGUGAGUGGUAAAGAAAUCACACCGAUUGGAUAGAUGAAGUGUAAGAUUUACACCUUUUUGUAAGGUAUGGGUAGCAUUGUUUAAAAAUAAUUGUUAUAAUUUACGUCUGCGUCAUUUGUAGCAAUGAGAUAUUGGAAUCGAUAUGAUCGGCACUAUUUAACUUUUGUGUGGGUGUGAACACUAGGUUGAGCGACUUUCAAUGUUGUCGGAAUUGAUCGCCAGUUUUAAUUUAGCUCAGGGUAGUAUAGCGAUCGACCGUAGGUGGAGUCCGAUUGAGUUGACUGAGGACAUGCAUAAGCUUCUCCUAUGCUCUACUCCACUCUCUACCUCACCUUGCAUGCCGACAAGGAAAUCCUCUCCACAUGGAGGAAUUCUACACUAUCACACUUGCACUACGUCAUCAAUAACAAGUCAAUCAAAUUCCUUCUUUUCAAACAAAAGUACAAUAAAAAUAUUUUUUUUACAAUCAUGAUGGGACAUAUACCCCUAAAAGAAAAUAUUUGAUUGGUUUGUUACGCCACGUCACCAACAUACCCGUUGCAUUAUAGAAUUUUUCCUCCACAUGCACUUUUCCUCUAUCUACUCUCUCACUUUCUCUCUCUCUCUCUUCCUCCAUACUCUUUUUUUUUUCCCUCCUAGCACUCUAUAUAUCCUUCUCUACCAUAGCUCUCAUUCUACCUCCCUCACCUUCUCCAUCCAUUUUCGUUGUGGAACUAAGCCUUCUUCAUUCCAAACUCCAACGAGGAACAAAGACUAGUGAAUUUGCGGCAUGAAGGUCGGUAUCGAGACCUAUUCCCAUUUUCUAACUUUGAAAGUUUGAAAAUCAAGUACAACCUCAUGUGUCACGCCCCACACCCCGCCUAUUUGGUCGGGUUCGGGUACGCCGACAGACCGCCGAACGGAUAGAGUUUUUCCUGUACGUCCUAGGCGUCGCAAUCAAAACAAUACAAGUGAUUCCAACCAGAAACAAUAUUCAAUCAUAGAUUGUAAAUGGAAAGGUAUCAACAACAUAACACAUCCUAUGUUAUUACAUACAUUCACAUUAGAUUCAUUUUUACAUCACAUUCAACUUCCAAAUACAAUUAAGUUAUUACAAUUAAUAUUACAAAUUUGAUACAUUGUGUUCCUUUCCCUUUCCUA